CCACAAGGGGGAGUGGGUGCACCCACCCAAGGUGAAAACAGGAAGGUAGAAGGAGUUCAAGAAGUGUUAGAUAUUUAAACAGCCUGCCCUCUAGUGUUAGUUUAAGGUACUGUGCCUUGACUCCAAUCGUGCUUGAACUGAGAACGUUUAGAGACUAUUCUCAUUCUAACGGAAUUUUACUGCAGUUAUCACAAGAACACAGAGUCCAAUCCCAACAGAUUCUAUCAUCUGUGCACUUAACUGCACAAUGUGUGUGUAGCAGGAUUUCUUCGCUGCCAGGUACACAAAUAAAAAUAUGAACAACAGGGUUUCUUCGCUGUUGUUAUACAAAUUUCACUUGAUCAAGGUUUUAAAAA